rnacentral:rRNA from 1 species
AUUGAACGCUGGCGGCAGGCCUAACACAUGCAAGUCGAGCGGGGUUUUCGGACCUAGCGGCGGACGGGUGAGUAAUGCGUAAGAAGCUGCCCGAUAGAGGGGGAUACCAGUUGGAAACGACUGUUAAUACCGCAUAAUGUCUACGGACCAAAGUGUGGGACCUUCGGGCCACAUGCUAUCGGAUGCGCCUACGUGGGAUUAGCUAGUUGGUGGGGUAAUGGCUCACCAAGGCGACGAUCUCUAGCUGGUUUGAGAGGAUGAUCAGCCACACUGGAACUGAGACACGGUCCAGACUCCUACGGGAGGCAGCAGUGGGGAAUAUUGGACAAUGGGCGCAAGCCUGAUCCAGCCAUGCCGCGUGUGUGAAGAAGGCCUUCGGGUUGUAAAGCACUUUCAGCGAGGAGGAAGGGGUGUGUGUUAAUAGUACACACCUUUGACGUUACUCGCAGAAGAAGCACCGGCUAACUCUGUGCCAGCCGCCGCCGUAACAC